rnacentral:rRNA from 1 species
UACGUAGGGUGCAAGCGUUAAUCGGAAUUACUGGGCGUAAAGCGUGCGCAGGCGGUUUUGUAAGUCUGUCGUGAAAUCCCCGGGCUCAACCUGGGAAUGGCAAUGGAUACUGGCAAGCUAGAGUGCGGUAGAGGGUAGUGGAAUUCCCGGUGUAGCGGUGAAAUGCGUAGAGAUCGGGAGGAACACUAGUGGCGAAGGCGACUACCUGGCCUGUUCUUGACGCUGAGGCGCGAAAGCUAGGGGGAGCAAACGGGG